rnacentral:rRNA from 2 species
GAGAAGCUUGCUUCUCUGAUGUUAGCGGCGGACGGGUGAGUAACACGUGGAUAACCUACCUAUAAGACUGGGAUAACUUCGGGAAACCGGAGCUAAUACCGGAUAAUAUUUUGAACCGCAUGGUUCAAAAGUGAAAGACGGUCUUGCUGUCACUUAUAGAUGGAUCCGCGCUGCAUUAGCUAGUUGGUAAGGUAACGGCUUACCAAGGCAACGAUGCAUAGCCGACCUGAGAGGGUGAUCGGCCACACUGGAACUGAGACACGGUCCAGACUCCUACGGGAGGCAGCAGUAGGGAAUCUUCCGCAAUGGGCGAAAGCCUGACGGAGCAACGCCGCGUGAGUGAUGAAGGUCUUCGGAUCGUAAAACUCUGUUAUUAGGGAAGAACAUAUGUGUAAGUAACUGUGCACAUCUUGACGGUACCUAAUCAGAAAGCCACGGCUAACUACGUGCCAGCAGCCGCGGUAAUACGUAGGUGGCAAGCGUUAUCCGGAAUUAUUGGGCGUAAAGCGCGCGUAGGCGGUUUUUUAAGUCUGAUGUGAAAGCCCACGGCUCAACCGUGGAGGGUCAUUGGAAACUGGAAAACUUGAGUGCAGAAGAGGAAAGUGGAAUUCCAUGUGUAGCGGUGAAAUGCGCAGAGAUAUGGAGGAACACCAGUGGCGAAGGCGACUUUCUGGUCUGUAACUGACGCUGAUGUGCGAAAGCGUGGGGAUCAAACAGGAUUAGAUACCCUGGUAGUCCACGCCGUAAACGAUGAGUGCUAAGUGUUAGGGGGUUUCCGCCCCUUAGUGCUGCAGCUAACGCAUUAAGCACUCCGCCUGGGGAGUACGACCGCAAGGUUGAAACUCAAAGGAAUUGACGGGGACCCGCACAAGCGGUGGAGCAUGUGGUUUAAUUCGAAGCAACGCGAAGAACCUUACCAAAUCUUGACAUCCUUUGACAACUCUAGAGAUAGAGCCUUCCCCUUCGGGGGACAAAGUGACAGGUGGUGCAUGGUUGUCGUCAGCUCGUGUCGUGAGAUGUUGGGUUAAGUCCCGCAACGAGCGCAACCCUUAAGCUUAGUUGCCAUCAUUAAGUUGGGCACUCUAAGUUGACUGCCGGUGACAAACCGGAGGAAGGUGGGGAUGACGUCAAAUCAUCAUGCCCCUUAUGAUUUGGGCUACACACGUGCUACAAUGGACAAUACAAAGGGCAGCGAAACCGCGAGGUCAAGCAAAUCCCAUAAAGUUGUUCUCAGUUCGGAUUGUAGUCUGCAACUCGACUACAUGAAGCUGGAAUCGCUAGUAAUCGUAGAUCAGCAUGCUACGGUGAAUACGUUCCCGGGUCUUGUACACACCGCCCGUCACACCACGAGAGUUUGUAACACCCGAAGCCGGUGGAGUAACCUUUUAGGAGCUAGCCGUCGAAGGUGGGACAAAUGAUUGGGGUGAAGUCGUAACAAGGUAGCCGUAUCGGAAGGUGCGGCUGGAUCACCUCCUUUCU